rnacentral:rRNA from 1 species
UGGCCCAGAUCGUUUACCGUGAAAAAAUUAGAGUGUUCAAAGCAGGCAGAUCCAAUUCUCUGCCACCGAAUACAUUAGCAUGGGAUAAUGGAAUAGGACCCUGUCCUCCUAUUUUCAGUUGGUUUUGGCAGCGCGAGGACUAGGGUAAUGAUUAAUAGGGAUAGUUGGGGGCAUUAAUAUUUAAUUGUCAGAGGUGAAAUUCUUGGAUUUAUGAAAGAUUAACUUCUGCGAAAGCAUCUGCCAAGGAUGUUUUCAUUAAUCAAGAACGAAAGUUAGGGGAUCGAAGACGAUCAGAUACCGUCGUAGUCUUAACCAUAAACGAUGCCGACCAGCGAUUAGGAGACGUUGAAUACAAAACACCACCAUCGGUGCGGUCGUUCUUGGCGUCGGUCUUUCGGCCGGCGCGGGGACGGCUASCCCCGUWYCCCYYWA